GAUGAACGCUGGCGGCAUGCCUAACACAUGCAAGUCGAUCGGUAAGGCUCUUCGGAGUACACGAGAGGCGGACGGCUGAGUAACGCGUAGGAACACACCCUGCAGUGAGGGAUAAGACACCGAAAGGUGUUCUAAUACCGCAUACGGUCUUCGGAUUAAAGCAUUUAUGCGCUGAAGGAGUGGCCUGCGUCAUAUUAGAUAGUUGGUGAGGUAAUGGCUUACCAAGUCGAUGAUGUGUAGCUGGUCUGAGAGGAUGAUCAGCCAGACUGGAACUGAGACACGGUCCAGACUCCUACGGGAGGCAGCAGUGAGGAAUAUUUCACAAUGAGCGAAAGCUUGAUGGAGCAAUGCCGCGUGCAGGAUGAAGGCCUUCGGGUUGUAAACUGCUUUUAUAAGAGAAGAUUAUGACGGUAACUUAUGAAUAAGGGACGGCUAACUACGUGCCAGCAGCCGCGGUCAUACGUAGGUCCCGAGCGUUAUCCGGAGUGACUGGGCGUAAAGAGUUGCGUAGGCGGUCAAGUUAGCGAGCGAUGAAAACUAUCGGCUCAACCGAUAGCUUGUUGUUCGAACUGCUUGACUCGAGAGUAUCAGAGGUCGCUGGAAUUCCUAGUGUAGCAGUGAAAUGCGUAGAUAUUAGGAAGAACACCGAUGGCGUAGGCAGGCGACUGGGAUAUUUCUGACGCUAAGGCACGAAAGCGUGGGUAGCGAACCGGAUUAGAUACCCGGGUAGUCCACGCCGUAAACGAUGGAUGCUAAUUGUUUGAGGUAUCGACCCCUCGAGUAAUAAAGCUAACGCGUUAAGCAUCCCGCCUGUGGAGUACGGCCGCAAGGCUAAAACAUAAAGGAAUUGACGGGGACCCGCACAAGCGGUGGAGGAUGUUCUUUAAUUCGACGUUAAGCGAAGAACCUUACCAGGGCUUGACAUCCCUAGAACUUUUUCGAAAGAAAAAGGUGCCUUCGGGAGCUAGGUGACAGAUCCUGCAUGGCCGUCGUCAGCUCGUGUCGUGAGAUGUUUGGUUAAGUCCAUCAACGAGCGCAACCCUUGUCGUCAGUUGUAUUUUUCUGGUAGGACUGCCCCGGUAACGGGGA
rnacentral:rRNA from 1 species